UUUGUGUUAACACUGGAAGUACUGAAUAGGAACAUCAGAGAAGAAAAAGAAAUAAAAGGAAUGAAAAUUAAAAAAAAAAGAGUACAAAUUGCAAGCCUUUGCAGAUGACCUGGUAUUUAUAUCAGAAGAUCCAUUGGAGUCAGAACCCAAGCUAAUAGAAAAGAUAGAAAAAUAUGUUAAGGUUGCAGGU